GAUGAAGAACGUAGCGAAAUGCGAUAAGUAAUGCGAAUUGCAGAAUUCCAUGAGUCAUCGAAUCUUUGAACGCACAUUGCGCCCUCUGGUAUUCCGGAGGGCAUGCCUGUCUGAGCGUCAUUGUCAACCCUCAAGCUCAGCUUGCUGUUGGGUCCCCGUCGUUGCUUUAACGGCGGACCCGAAAGGUAAUGGCAGAGUCCGUGAGACCCUAGACGCAGCGAGCUUCUAGCACGCGUCUGGACGUUUUUCGGGCUCGGUCUUAACUAGAUGAUAACUUCCGAUUGACCUCAGAUCAGGUAGGGAUACCCGCUGAACUUAAGCAUAUCAAUAAGCGGAGGA
rnacentral:misc_RNA from 1 species